UGGCUCAGAUGGUAAAGAAUCUGCCUGCAAUGCAGAAGACCCAGGUUCAAUCCCUGG
rfam:Ovis aries breed Texel Tnplaced_Contig657_fixed, whole genome shotgun sequence.